GUGCCAGCCGCCGCGGUAAUACAGAGGGUGCAAGCGUUAAUCGGAAUUACUGGGCGUAAAGCGAGCGCAGGUGGCUUGAUAAGUCAGAUGUGAAAUCCCCGGGCUUAGCCUGGGAACUGCAUCUGAUACUGUUGGGCUAGAGUAGGUGAGAGGGAGGUAGAAUUUCAGGUGUAGCGGUGAAAUGCGUAGAGAUCUGAAGGAAUACCGAUGGCGAAGGCAGCCUCCUGGCAUCAUACUGACACUGAGGUUCGAAAGCGUGGGUAGCAAACAGGAUUAGAUACCCCCGUAGUC
rnacentral:rRNA from 1 species